GCUGGCCAAAGGUAAGAGUUCUUACCAACUCAGCCUCCUGGAUCUCUGACUGCAGGGUUAGGUCAAAGUGAGAGUGGUACCUAUGGGAAGACUAGCAAAUGGAGAUCCUGGGUUGGAGAAGUUACAGGAUUGUCUUAAGAGGAUGGCACUGUGGAGAUGGAAUGGAGAUGGGACAAUCAGAAUCAUCAACUGUAGCUGAACAGCAACUGCCUGAAGCUGAGAACCCACCUUUUAAAAGUUGAAGCUGGAUAACCUGAUAUGAACUUCUGAGAAAUCAACACAACAGCUCACAUAUGGACAACCUGUGGGCUACUCAGACAUUACUACAGACAUUCAAACUGCAAAAGAUACUUCAAAUCCAACAUCUGGAAAUCUCAUCUGGCCACCUACUAGACUCAGAAACUGGUUUCUAGUCUGCUCCAAUCAUUAACUUUUGUUUUUCUCUUGUUUCCAGAGAAAUGACUCUUUAUGUGUUAUGGGACAAUCUACGAAUUCCAUUUCUGGACUGUGAAACUUCUUGGGAAAGUUUCAGACAGGGGAAUGUUGGGGCUCAGGACACACCAUCCCUAAAUAUACCACUUAAGAAAUCA